rnacentral:rRNA from 1 species
GUGGGGAAUAUUGCGCAAUGGGGGAAACCCUGACGCAGCAACGCCGCGUGAGUGAUGAAGGCUUUCGAGUCGUAAAACUCUGUCUUUGGGGACGAAUACUGACGGUACCCAAGGAGGAAGCCCCGGCUAACUACGUGCCAGCAGCCGCGGUAAUACGUAGGGGGCAAGCGUUGUCCGGAAUCACUGGGCGUAAAGGGCGCGUAGGCGGUUUGUUAAGUCAGGUGUGAAAGUUUUCAGCUUAACUGGAAAAGUGCACUUGAAACUAACUUACUUGAGUACGUGAGAGGUAAGCGGAAUUCCUAGUGUAGCGGUGAAAUGCGUAGAUAUUAGGAAGAACACCGGUGGCGAAGGCGGCUUACUGGACAGAGACUGACGCUGAGGCGCGAAAGCGUGGGGAGCGAACAGGAUUAGAAACCCGGGUAGUCC